CGACCACGUCACCGUGGGGAGGAGGUUGAAAUCACUUCAUAUAGAGCAGGUAGGGUGUAGGGGGUAGGGGUUGUAGGGUGUAGGGGGUGUAGGUGUAGGGGGUGUAGGUGUAGGGGGUGUAGGGGGUGAAGGGGCGGGAUGGUCAGAAGGGGGAUGGGGGAAGAAUGUGGAGAGAAAGGAUGCUACUUCUCUCUCCUCUCUUUCUCCUUCCUCUCCUUCUUCUCCCUUUUCAAGUCCUCCUUCUCUUUUUUCUCCAGAGCCUCCUUUUCCUUCUUCACACUUUUCAACUC